rnacentral:lncRNA from 1 species
UGAAAUUUCUUUUGUUACAGUUUGUUUCUCUUCAUCCACAUAUGUUGUUGUUGCUGAUGUAAGACGAUCUUCUUUCGGGUUUGAAUCUUCUGACUUGGGCACCAAUUCAGGGAUUUUUACAUCAUAGACAGAUUCAAGAUCUAGUGGCAAAGUUUUAAGGGUUUCUUCUGUUGUAGUUACUAAUGAACUUGAGGGUACAAUAUCUUCUUGAGGUUUGACUUCUGUUGUUUCAUUUGAAUCCUUAGAUUUUUCUUUUGAUGCUUCAUCCAAACCAUCAUUCUGUUGCUCAACAGGUUCAAUCUCCCUUGUUCUUGCAUCUUGAAAGCACUUUUCUUCUUUAGUUGUAGUGUCAUUUGGAUUCUCUAUGCUGUCAUGGGAUAAAUGUUCAUCCUUUUUUGUGAUUUCCUCUUCUUCUAUAGUUUCACUUAUGGUUUCAGUUGGACCUGCCUGUAUCUCCUCAACAAUUUGUCCUUUAGGUUGACCAAGCUCUGACGACACCUGUUUAAAAUAUAUUUUUUUAAAUAAUUUAAUAUAACAAACAACUGAAUAUCGAAGAAGGUUGAGCUAUAUCUGUUAUAAAAUGAAGUCUUUUGAAUAUUCUAUCUGUUAAAAGAUGAUAUCCAACUUUGAAUGAACAAAUGAAAACAUUUUGAUGUUAUAGUUCCCUUUUUCACAUGUCCACUGACCUCAUCGGUUAAUUCCUUUUCAUCUGAUGUUGUUGUCUUUUCAUCUGCUAAGUCCUUUUCAGGCAAGAUGACAUUCUCCAUGAUGUUUUCAGGGGUGAUGUCUGAUUGUUCUGGUUGAGGCUUUGUUUCCUUAACCUGGUAUUCUUCUAUCACCAUCUUAGACAUGGGUUUGAGUUCUCCAUGUAGUUCUAGAUUCUAUUUUGCAAAAAAUAAACCAAAAUAAUGCAGAUAGUUUUACUUUCCAUAUGACAACAUAAGUGUUCAUGAUAGAGUGAUAUGUCAAUAUGCAUUAACAUCAAAAAUCUUGAAAAUUUUCUAACCUCUGUACUUGAAGUUUCAUUAGCUAUAACUUCAUGUUCUUUCUCUCCAUUGUUUUCAUCUGUAUACUCGGUUGUUGCUGAGACAAUGCUCUCUUCUUUCACUUUUGAGUCUUCUGAAUCAACAACUACUUCAGGGGUUUGUACAUCACAAACAGAUUCAAGAGCCUGUUUGGGUGACUCAUCGAUUUCUAAUGGAUCUGAAUACGAUAUCUGCUUAAAAAAAUUCAUGUUAACACAUAUUCAUACAGCAUGAACAAAAUACUAUUCUCAUCUUUCUGUUAAUAGACUAACCACAGGUGCCUUUUGAUCUUCUGUUGAUUUCUCUUGUAGCUCUGUGGAAUUACUAUAUUCCUCAACAAUCUGUUCUUUGAGGUCAUCUGUUCCCUUUUCCUUUUGUGUCUCUAAAGGUACCUGUUCAAUCUAUAUAACAUUCAUGUAAGCAGACCCCUUUGAUGACUUGAUAGAUAAGCAAGUGGUUAUAUAUUUAUCGUAUUCACCUCUUUAGUCAAGAUGACAUCCUUUGAUAUCUCACUGCAGUCUUCGGUGCUAUUAAGCUGAUUUUCUUGUGUAACAUCCUCUUUUUCAUACAGUGAUUUGUUUUCACCAAUUUCUGUUGUCUGCAACCAUUAGUGUCAAAGUAUGUCAAUAAAGCACAGAAGAAAUGCAAGAAAAAGAUGAUGUGAACUGUAGGGACGUUUUUCUGUCUGACCUCUGCACUUGAAACUUCUUUUGUUUCUGUUUCUUUUUCUUCAUCCACAUGCGUUGCUGUUGUAAGACACUCUUCUUUCAUGUUUGAAUCUUCUGACUCGAGCCCCACUCCAGGGAUUUGUACCUCAGAAACAGUUUCAAGAUCUUCAAGGAAGAUCUCUUUAGUCAUUUCUGUCUGCUCCUGCCUUUCAUCAGUAUUGACCACUGUGGUAGCAUGUUGUCCGAUUGUUGUUUCUUUUAUAUCCUCACUGGAUGCAUUUUGUGAGCUUGUAACAUCAUCUUCACCAUCUUGGACUUCUUCUGACAUUUUGAGGUCUUUUUCUUUUGCUUGAUUUUCCUCUUUGCUCACUGUUUCAUCCUCAUUCAAUUCAGAUUCAACCUUCUCUAAUCCUGUCACUUCAUGGACUUCCUUAACCAGGGAGCUUUCAGACUUUUCUGUUUGACCAUCAUCAUUGACUACAUCCUCCUUUUUUUCUAUGGUUUCGACACUAGAUUUGAUUUCUUCAGUGUCUUCCUCUAUACUUUCUCUAGUUUCAAAAAACUCAGGUUCUUUACCUUCUUCUUGGUAGUUCUUUUUUUGCAAGUCUUCUUCUAAUGCUGCAACCUGUGAGGUUGUUACAUUGUCCUCACCUUGACCUUCUGCCGACAUGUUGACCUGAUCCUUUUCUUGAUCUUCAUCUUUAAAAGUUUCUAUUGCUUUUAUCCCUUCUUCAGAUUCAACCUUUUCCGAACUAGUCUCAUCACAUACCUCUUUGACAGAGUGGAUAGGAGGCGUUUCCAUUUGAUCAUCAUCAUGCUCAAUAGGCUCUUUGUUUUUUUCUUCAGUUUCUGUUUUCUCUUCUUGAGAUUCCACUUGUGCUGAUGUGAAAACAUCAGUUGUGAUGGCAUGUGGCAACUCUCCUUGCUCCACUUUUUCUUUUGUUUUAACAUUUGUGCUUAUAAGUUCAUUAUCUUCCUCCAUGCUUUCUCUAGUUUCAAAAAAUACAUCCUCAGAGGCUGCAACUGUAUCCUGUGAGCAUAUAACUUCAUCCUCACUUUGGUCUUUUUCUGGUAUGUUGAGCUCUUGUUCCUUUUCUUGAUAUUCAUCUUUGCUUAAAAUUUCUAUUUCUUUCUCAUUCUGAUACAUAUCGGAAUUUAUCCCUUCUUCAGAUACAGUCUUCUUUAAGUCAGUCUCUUCACAUACUUCCUGUUGCUCCUUUUCAUCUGUUUCAACACUUGGUUUGAUUUCUUCAGUAUACAUCUCUUGCUCAAAAAUUAUGCUGGCACUUUCUUCUAUUUUAUCUUUUGCUCCAUUAUCAUCAUACUGCUCGCUUGCCUAUAUGAAGAGUGUAUUUUGAGUACAUGGGCAGAAUGGACAAUACAGAACUUGGUAAGUCUAAUGUAUAGUCAAAGUUUGUAAAACAAUCUGUGUAACAGCUUAGUUUAUUGGUCUCUUUUUCAAAAGAAAAUUAUGAGCAGCAUUUGCUCUAAAGUCUAAACUACUUUAUAAAACGGGUUUCCCUUAGAAUUUAUCAUUUUCAUAAAUAUCCACAACUUGCUUUUCUUCUAGUUCUAUACCCCUCCCCAAUUGUACUGUUCAAUUGAAUAAAUCAAGUUCUGUAUUUGAAGUUACACUUAAUAUGCUCUAUAAAAUAUGUAUUUUAUCUUGUUUAGGGCCCUUAAAAUGGUCUAAUAUAUAUAUAUNNNNNNNNNNNNNNNNNNNUAUAUAUAUAUAUAUAUAUAUAUAUAUUUGUAAGAGAUACUUGAACUACCGAGUUGAACAACUUAUGCAUUUGUUACUUUCUCAAACACAUGAGAUGAGAAAUUUUGUAGCAGACAACAUAAUGUCUUGAUAAUUUUAGCAUUGCAAGUUUAGUUGGAAUGAUGUACAAGUAAAACCUUUUGAAAUAAUUAGAGAUUACUUAAGAUGAACAUAAAUUACCUCUUGAGCAUGAAUUGAUUUGUCUUCUAUUUCUUCCUUGAGGAUCUCUUUGGUCAAUGCACUAUCAUCUUUGCUCUCCUCAAAAUCAACCACUGUGGUAACAUGUUGACCAAUUGUUGACUCUUGUAUAUCCUCACACGUUGCAUCUUCUGAACUUGUAACGGCAUCCCCACCACCUUGGACUUCUUCUGGCAUUUUGAGUUCAUGUUCCUUUUCUUGAUUUUCCUCUUUGCUCACUAUCUCAUUCUCAUUCAAUUCAGGUUUAGCCUUCUCUGAUCCUGUCACUUCACACACCUCCUUAACCAAUGGGCUUUCAAACUCAUCAUUGACUAUAGCAUCUUCCUCAAUCUUUUCUUCAUUUUCCAUAGUUUCUUUUUUAGGUUCUAUUUCUGUUGAGCUGCAAACAUCAGUAGUAAUGACAUGCAGCAACCCUUGUUGCUCCAUAUUUUCUUUUGUUUCUAUACUAGAUUCGAUUUCUUCAAUGUUUUCCUCUACACUUUCUCUCGUUUCAACAACUUCAGGUUCUUUACCUUCUUCUUGGUAGUUCUUUUCUUGCAAGUCUUCUUCUAAGGCUGCAACCUGUGAGCUUGUUACAUUAUCCUCGCCUUGACCUUCUGUUGACAUGUCAACCUGAUCCUUUUCUUGUUCUUCAUCCUUGAAAGUUUCAAUAGCUUUUACCUCUUGUUCAGAUUCAACCUUUUUUGAGCUAGUCUCAUCGCAUACCUCCUUGGUAGUCUCUUCAUAAACCUCCUUCAUAGACUCUUCAUUCUUUUGUUCAGUUUCCGUGGUCUCUUCUUGAGAUUCUGUUUGUGCUGAUAUGCAAGCUACCUCUUGAGCAUCACUUGGUUUUUCCUCUGUUUCUUCCAUAAGGAUCUCUUUAGGCAUUAAACCUAUCGCUUGUCCCUCCUCUAAAUAGGCCACUGUAGUGUCCUGUUGACCAACUGUUGUUUCUUUUAUAUCCUCACACGUUGCAUCUUUUGAACUUGUAGUUGUAACAUCAUCCCCUAAACCUUUUCCUGACACAUAAACCUCUUGUUCCUUUUCUUCAUCUUCAACUUUGUUCACUAUUUCUUUCUCAUUUGUUGUUUCUUUUACCUCUUCGCUAUAUUCAACUUUCUCUGAACUGGUCUCUUCACAUACUUCAUUGACUGGGGAGCUGUCAACAUUUUCCUUUUGACCAUUAUCACUCUGAAUAGGCUCGUCACUUUUUACUUCAUGUUCUUCACUUUCUACCUGAGAUUUUGUUUGUGAUGUGAUGCAAUCAUCAUGCAACAGUUCUUGCUGCUUGGUUUCAACACUUGGUUUGAUUUCUUUAGUAUCUUCCUCUUGCUCAAUCUCUGAACAAGAUUGAACAGUUUUGUUGUCGCUUUCAUCAGGCUUUUGUUCUGUUUUGUCCUAUUAGAGAAAAAGUAUUCAGUUAGAUAUGAUGAUUUAUAUAAAUAGGCUCAAAGUUUUUAAAAACAAUCUCUGUGGUAGGUUUUUUUCAUUGUUCUUUUUUAAGAUAAUUGUGAGUGACAGUUGUUCUUUAUAACAUUAACAUGAUUCUACAUUGCUUAGUAAUAAAACAUUAAAAGUUUUAGUAGGAAAGAUAUACAAGUAAAACCUUUUGGAUUGUUCAGAGUUAACAUGGGAUGAACACGAAUUACCUCUUGAGCAUCAAUUGCACUCUGAUUCGGCUCCUCGAACUCGAUAUCAGCCACUGGGGUAGCCUUUUGACCAAUUAUUGUUUCUUUUAUAUCCUCGCUGGAUGCAUUCUGUGAGCUUGUAACAUCAUCUCCACCACCUUGGACUUCUUUUGACAUUUUAAUCUCUUGUUCCUUUUCUUGAUUUUCCUCAUUGUUCACUAUUUCAUUCUCAUUCAAUUCAGAUUCAGCCUUCUCUGAGCUUGUUGCUUCACAUACUUCCUUCACCAAGGGGCUUUCAGACUUAUCUGUUUGACCAUCAUCAUUCACCAAUGCCUCUUCAUCAAUCUUUAUAUCAUCUUUUGUUUCGGCACUAGAUUUGAUUUCUUCAGUAUCUUCCUCUAAAUACUCUCUAGGUUUGACAAAUUCGGGUUCCUUACCUUCAUCAUCAUAUUUUGUUUCUGGUAAGUCCUGUAUAGAAGUUGCAUCUUGUGAGAAAGUGACAUCAUCUUUUCCUUGGUCUUCUUCUGAAAUGAUGGACUCUUGUUCUUGUUCUUGUUCUUUUUCUUUUUCUUGAUGUUCAUCUUUGUCAGAAGGUUCUACCCCUUCAAAUUUACCCUUCUCUAAGUGAGUUUCUUCACAUACUUCAGUCACAUCUUCAUCGUCUGUAAUCUUUACCUGCUCCUUUUCAUCUGUUUCCACACUUGGCUUGAUUUCUUCAGCAUUUUCAUUUUUGUUGACACUUUCCUCGGGCUUUUGUUCUAUUUUUUCAUUUGCUCCACUCUCAUCCUGCUCACUUGCCUAUAUGAACACAAGUAUUUUGAGUACAUGUGGAGAAUAAAAGUAACACAUCAUGAUAAGUCUAAUGCAUAGUCAAACUUUUAAAACAAUCUUUGUGGCAGCUUCAAAAAAAUUUGUGAGCCAAAUUUGCUAUAAACUACUUUAUAGAAUGGUUUUCUCUAAACAUUUAUCGUUUUAUGAACUCUAACUCUUCUCAACAAAUGAAACUAAACGUUUGGAUGAGACAAGCAUUUGACAUUAAAAUUAUGUAUGAAAAUCAUAAUAUUGUCUUAUACUUUUAUAAAUUAAACAUAAAACUAGUAAGAAUUAGCCUUAACAUUUAACAAUACAUUAGUAUAAUAUGUGAUUUUUAGUUUCUCUUACACAUGAGAUAAGAAAAUAUGUAGCAGACAACAACAUUUCCAUAUGUCAUAAUGAUUAUAGCAUUUCAAAUUCUAGUAAGACUGAUCUACAAUUAAAACUGUAAAACCUUUUAGGAAUAGUUAGGUUUACUUAGAAUGAACAUGAAUUACCUCUUGCACAUCAGUUGAUUUGUCCUCUGCUUCUUCCUUAAGGAUCUCCUUAGGCGUUGAGUUUAGAGCCUGUUCCUCCUCUAAAUAGGCCACUGUAGUAACAUGCUCACCAGUUGUUGUUUCUUUUAUAUCCUCAAAUGUUGCAUCUUGUGAACUUGUAACAUCAUCCCCUAAACCUUUUCCUGACACAUAAACCUCUUGUUCCUUUUCUUCAUCUUCAACUUUGCUUGCUAUUUCGUUUUCAUUCAGAUCGAUAUUAACACUGUCAGAAAGUUUUAACCCUUCUUCAGAUUCAACCUUCUCUGAGACAGUCUCUUCACAUACUUCCUUCACCAUGGUCUCUGUAUUAGAACUAUCAGAGUAGUUCACCUCUUCUUUAUAUUCAAUUUUCUCUGAACUAGCCUCUUCACAUACUUCAACACUUGGUUUGGUUUCUUCAGUAUCUUUCUCUUGCUCAAUUUCUGAACCAGACUGUACAAUUUUGUUGUCACUUUCUGCAGACUUUUGUUCUUUUUUGUCCUAUUAGAGAAGAAAUAUUCAGUAUAUUAUACGACUGAAAGAAAAGAAAUGAUGAUUUAUAUAAACAGGCUUAAAGUUUUUAAAAACAAUCUUAAGGGUAGGUUUUUUUCAUUGUUAUUCUAUAAAAUAAAUGUGAGCGACAGUUGUACUUUAUAACAUGAAUCUACAUUGGUUAGUGAUAAAAAAAAGCAUUUCAAGUUUUAGUUGGAAUGAUGUACAAGUAAAACCUUUUGGAUUGUUUAGGAGUUAACAUGGUAUGAACAUGAUUUACCUCUUGAACAUCAAUCACACUCUGAUUCUGCUCCUCGAACUCGAUAUUAGCCACUGGGGUAGCCUGUUGACCAAUUGUUGUUUCUUUUAUAUCCUCACUGGAUGCAUUCUGUGAUCUUGUAACAUCAUCUCCACCACCUUGGACUUCUUCUGACAUUUUAAGCUCUUGUUCCUUUUCUUGAUUUUCCUCUUUGCUCACUAUUUCGUUCUCAUUCAAUUCAGAUUCAGCCUUCUCUGAGGUUGUCGCAUCAUAUACUUCCUUCACCAAGGGGCUUUCAGACUUCUUUGUUUGAUCAUCAUCAUUCACUAAUGCCUCUUCAUCAAUCUUUAUAUCAUCUUUUGUAUCAGCACUAGAUUUGAUUUCUUGAGUAUCUUCGUCUAUAUUCUCUCUAGGUUUGACAAAUACAGGUAAGUUCUCUAUAGUGGUUGCAUCUUGUGAGCAUGUGAUAUCAUCUUUUCCUUGGUCUUCUUCUGAAAUGAUGGACUCUUGUUCUUUUUCUUUUUCUUGAUCUUUAUCAUUGUCAGAAGGUUCUACCCCUUCAAAAUUUCCCUUCUCUAAUUGAGUUUCUGCACAUACUUCAAUCACAUCUUCUUCAUAGUCUGUAAUCUUCACUUGUUCCUUUUCAUCUAUUUCCACACUUGGCUUGAUUUCUUCGGUAUCUUCAAUUUUGUUGACAAUUUCCUCGGGAUUUUGUUCUAUUUUUUCGUUUGCUCCACUCUC